rnacentral:rRNA from 1 species
AUUGAACGCUGGCGGCAGGCCUAACACAUGCAAGUCGAACGAGUGGCGGACGGGUGAGUAAUGUCUGGGAAACUGCCUGAUGGAGGGGGAUAACUACUGGAAACGGUAGCUAAUACCGCAUACCAUCAGAUGUGCCCAGAUGGGAUUAGCUUGUUGGUGGGGUAACGGCUCACCAAGGCGACGAUCCCUAGCUGGUCUGAGAGGAUGACCAGCCACACUGGAACUCAACAACGGUCCAGACUCCGACGGCGGCCAGCAGGUGGAAGUAAUGGACAAUGGGCGCAAGCCUGAUGCAGCAAUGCCCCGUGUAUAAAGGAGACCUGAGGGUUGUAAAGUACGUUACGAAGGGAGGGGUUACCCGCAGAAGAAGCACCGGGUAAGUCCGUGCUAGGCGCCGCGGUAAUAC